GUUAUAGGAUCAAGUGACUAAGUGCACAUGGUGGAUGCCUUGGCGAUUACAGGCGAAGAAGGACGUGGUAGCCUGCGAAAAGCGGCGGGGAGCUGGCAAACGAGCUUUGAUCCGCUGAUGUCCGAAUGGGGAAACCCACUGCGUAAGCAGUAUCCUGCACUGAAUACAUAGGUGCAGAGAAGCGAACCGAGUGAACUGAAACAUCUAAGUAGCUCGAGGAAAAGAAAUCAACCGAGAUUCCGGCAGUAGCGGCGAGCGAGCCCGGAGCAGCCUUGACGAUUUAGCGUUGCGUAUAGCCGAAUGCUCUGGAAAGGGCGACCGUAGCGGGUGAUAGUCCCGUAGGCGAAAUGCGCGAUGUGGAACUAGGCGUCAGAUAAGUAGGGCGGGACACGUGAAAUCCUGUCUGAAGAUGGGGGGACCAUCCUCCAAGGCUAAAUACUCGUAAUCGACCGAUAGUGAACCAGUACCGUGAGGGAAAGGCGAAAAGAACCCCGGAAGGGGAGUGAAAUAGAUCCUGAAACCGUGUGCAUACAAACAGUAGGAGCCUCAUUUAUGGGGUGACUGCGUACCUUUUGUAUAAUGGGUCAGCGACUUACAUUCAGUGGCAAGCUUAACCGAAUAGGGAAGGCGUAGCGAAAGCGAGUCCGAACAGGGCGUUUGAGUCGCUGGGUGUAGACCCGAAACCAGGCGAUCUAUCCAUGGUCAGGUUGAAGGCACGGUAACACGUGCUGGAGGACCGAACCCACUAAUGUUGAAAAAUUAGGGGAUGAACUGUGGAUAGGGGUGAAAGGCUAAACAAGCCUGGAAAUAGCUGGUUCUCUCCGAAAACUAUUUAGGUAGUGCCUCGCGUAUUGCUGCUGGGGGUAGAGCACUGUUAUGGCUAGGGGGUCAUGGCGAUUUACCAAACCAUGGCAAACUCCGAAUACCAGCAAGUAUGAGCGCGGGAGACAGAGCACCGGGUGCUAACGUCCGGACUCAAGAGGGAAACAACCCAGACCGCCAGCUAAGGUCCCCAAAAUUGGCUAAGUGGGAAACGAAGUGGGAAGGCGAAGACAGUCAGGAGGUUGGCUUAGAAGCAGCCAUCCUUUAAAGAAAGCGUAAUAGCUCACUGAUCGAGUCGUCCUGCGCGGAAGAUGUAACGGGGCUAAGCCAGUUACCGAAGCUGCGGGUGUGCCCGUUCUUUUAACCGCAUUGCGAAAGCUUAGCGUGCGCCAGCACGCAAAGCGCUCUAUCACGAUAGGGUCGUAGUGUGUAGUGUGGUUAAAUGAGCGGGCACGCGGUAGGAGAGCGUUCUGUAAGCCUGUGAAGGUGGCUUGUAAAGGCUGCUGGAGGUAUCAGAAGUGCGAAUGCUGACAUGAGUAGCGAUAAAGGGGGUGAAAAGCCCCCUCGCCGUAAGUCCAAGGUUUCCUGCGCAACGUUCAUCGGCGCAGGGUGAGUCGGCCCCUAAGGUGAGGCAGAGAUGCGUAGCUGAUGGGAAGCUGGUUAAUAUUCCAGCACCGUCGUACAGUGCGAUGGGGGGACGGAUUGCGAAAGGUCAUCGGGGUGUUGGAAGUCCCCGUUGCUGCACUAUAGAAGGCGCUUUAGGCAAAUCCGGGCGCGUAAUUCAAGGGUGUGGCUGGAUAAGACUACGGUCUUAAACUGAUUGGAAGUGGUCCCAAGAAAAGCCUCUAAGCUCUAGCUGUACGAGACCGUACCGCAAACCGACACAGGUGGACGGGAUGAAUAUUCCAAGGCGCUUGAGAGAACUCAGGAGAAGGAACUCGGCAAAUUGAUACCGUAACUUCGGGAGAAGGUAUACCCUGGUAGUGUGAGGCGCCUGCGCGCUGAGCAUGACGGGGUCGCAGAGAAUCGGUGGCUGCGACUGUUUAUUAAAAACACAGCACUCUGCUAACACGAAAGUGGACGUAUAGGGUGUGACGCCUGCCCGGUGCCGGAAGGUUAAGUGAUGGGGUGCAAGCUCUUGAUCGAAGCCCCGGUAAACGGCGGCCGUAACUAUAACGGUCCUAAGGUAGCGAAAUUCCUUGUCGGGUAAGUUCCGACCUGCACGAAUGGCGUAACGAUGGCCACACUGUCUCCUCCUGAGACUCAGCGAAGUUGAAGUGUUUGUGAUGAUGCAAUCUACCCGCGGCUAGACGGAAAGACCCCAUGAACCUUUACUGUAGCUUUGCAUUGAACUGUGAACCGGCUUGUGUAGGAUAGGUGGGAGGCGCAGAAGAGUGGUCGCUAGACUGCUUGGAGCCGACCUUGAAAUACCACCCUGGUCUGUUUGCGGUUCUAACCUUGGCCCGUUAUCCGGGUUGGGGACAGUGCAUGGUGGGCAGUUUGACUGGGGCGGUCUCCUCCCAAAGCGUAACGGAGGAGUUCGAAGGUACGCUAGGCACGGUCGGAAAUCGUGCUGAUAGUGCAAUGGCAUAAGCGUGCUUGACUGUGAGACUGACACGUCGAACAGGUGCGAAAGCAGGACAUAGUGAUCCGGUGGUUCUGAAUGGAAGGGCCAUCGCUCAACGGAUAAAAGGUACUCUGGGGAUAACAGGCUGAUACCGCCCAAGAGUUCAUAUCGACGGCGGUGUUUGGCACCUCGAUGUCGGCUCAUCUCAUCCUGGGGCUGUAGCCGGUCCCAAGGGUAUGGCUGUUCGCCAUUUAAAGAGGUACGUGAGCUGGGUUUAAAACGUCGUGAGACAGUUUGGUCCCUAUCUGCCGUGGGCGUUGGAUACUUGACGGAGCCUGCUCCUAGUACGAGAGGACCGGAGUGGACGUACCGCUGGUGUAUCGGUUGUCAUGCCAAUGGCAUUGCCGAGUAGCUAAGUACGGAAGAGAUAACCGCUGAAGGCAUCUAAGCGGGAAACUCGUCUGAAGAUAAGGUAUCCCGGGGGCUUGACCCCCCUGAAGGGUCGUUCGAGACCAGGACGUUGAUAGGCUGGGUGUGUAAGCGCAGUAAUGUGUUUAGCUAACCAGUACUAAUUGCCCGUGCGGCUUGAUCCUAUAACCAUGCAGGUUAUG
rnacentral:rRNA from 2 species